rnacentral:rRNA from 1 species
AACGCGAAGAACCUUACCCGGGCUCGAACGGCAGAUGGAUGACCCAGAGAUGGGCAGUCCUUCGGGACAUCUGUCGAGGUGCUGCAUGGUUGUCGUCAGCUCGUGCCGUGAGGUGUCGGCUUAAGUGCCAUAACGAGCGCAACCCUUGUCGUCAGUUGCCAUCAGGUAAAGCUGGGGACUCUGGCGAGACUGCCACCGCAAGGUGUGAGGAAGGGGGGGAUGACGUCAAAUCAGCACGGCCCUUACGUCCGGGGCGACACACGUGUUACAAUGGUGGGUACAGAGGGAAGCUACCUGGUGACAGGAUGCAGAUCUCGAAAACCCAUCCCAGUUCGGACUGGAGUCUGCAACUCGACUCCACGAAGUUGGAUUCGCUAGUAAUCGCGCAUCAGCCAUGGCGCGGUGAAUACGUUCCCGGGUCUUGUACACACGC